UGCAGUCGAGCGGUACAGGUCUAGCUUGCUAGACGCUGACGAGCGGCGGACGGGUGAGUAAUGCAUAGGAAUCUGCCCGAUAGUGGGGGAUAACCUGGGGAAACCCAGGCUAAUACCGCAUACGUCCUACGGGAGAAAGGGGGCUUCGGCUCCCGCUAUCGGAUGAGCCUAUGUCGGAUUAGCUAGUUGGUGGGGUAAUGGCCCACCAAGGCGACGAUCCGUAGCUGGUCUGAGAGGAUGAUCAGCCACAUCGGGACUGAGACACGGCCCGAACUCCUACGGGAGGCAGCAGUGGGGAAUAUUGGACAAUGGGGGCAACCCUGAUCCAGCCAUGCCGCGUGUGUGAAGAAGGCCUUAGGGUUGUAAAGCACUUUCAGCGAGGAAGAACGCCUGGCGGUUAAUACCCGCCAGGAAAGACAUCACUCGCAGAAGAAGCACCGGCUAACUCCGUGCCAGCAGCCGCGGUAAUACGGAGGGUGCAAGCGUUAAUCGGAAUUACUGGGCGUAAAGCGCGCGUAGGUGGCUUGAUAAGCCGGUUGUGAAAGCCCCGGGCUCAACCUGGGAACGGCAUCCGGAACUGUCAAGCUAGAGUACAGGAGAGGAAGGUAGAAUUCCCGGUGUAGCGGUGAAAUGCGUAGAGAUCGGGAGGAAUACCAGUGGCGAAGGCGGCCUUCUGGACUGAUACUGACACUGAGGUGCGAAAGCGUGGGUAGCAAACAGGAUUAGAUACCCUGGUAGUCCACGCCGUAAACGAUGUCGACCAGCCGUUGGGUGCCUAGCGCACUUUGUGGCGAAGUUAACGCGAUAAGUCGACCGCCUGGGGAGUACGGCCGCAAGGUUAAAACUCAAAUGAAUUGACGGGGGCCCGCACAAGCGGUGGAGCAUGUGGUUUAAUUCGAUGCAACGCGAAGAACCUUACCUACCCUUGACAUCCUGCGAACCCGGAAGAGAUUCCGGGGUGCCUUCGGGAACGCAGAGACAGGUGCUGCAUGGCUGUCGUCAGCUCGUGUUGUGAAAUGUUGGGUUAAGUCCCGUAACGAGCGCAACCCUUGUCCUUAUUUGCCAGCACGUAAUGGUGGGAACUCUAAGGAGACUGCCGGUGACAAACCGGAAGAAAGGUGGGGACGACGUCAGUCAUCAUGGCCCUUACGGGUAGGG
rnacentral:rRNA from 1 species